AAACCAACAGGGAUUGCCCUAGUAACGGCGAGUGAAGCGGCAGCAGCUCAAAUUUGAAAUCUGGCUUCGGCCCGAGUUGUAAUUUGCAGAGGAUGCUUCUGGCGCGGUGCCUUCCGAGUUCCCUGGAACGGGACGCCACAGAGGGUGAGAGCCCCGUAUGGUCGGACACCAAGCCUGUGUGAAGCUCCUUCGACGAGUCGAGUAGUUUGGGAAUGCUGCUCUAAAUGGGAGGUAAAUCUCUUCUAAAGCUAAAUACCGGCCAGAGACCGAUAGCGCACAAGUAGAGUGAUCGAAAGAUGAAAAGCACCUUGAAAAGGGGGUUAAAUAGUACGUGAAAUUGUUGAAAGGGAAGCACUUGUGACCAGACUUGGGCCGGGCGGCUCAUCAGGGGUUCUCCCCUGUGCACUCCGCCCGGCACAGGCCAGCAUCGGUUCUCGUGGGGGGAUAAGACCGUUAGGAACGUAGCACCCUCCGGGGUGUGUUAUAGCCUGGCGGACGAUACCCCCGUGGGGACCGAGGUUCGCGCUCCGCAAGGAUGCUGGCGUAAUGGUCACCAGUGAC
rnacentral:rRNA from 1 species